rnacentral:rRNA from 1 species
CCCUUAGAUGUUCUGGGCUGCACGCGCGCUACACUGAUGCGUUCAACGAGUCCAUGACCUUGCCCGGCAGGGUUGGGUAAUCUUCUGAAAACGCAUCGUGAUGGGGAUAGAUUAUUGCAAUUAUUAAUCUUCAACGAGGAAUUCCUAGUAAGCGCGAGUCAUCAGCUCGUGCUGAUUACGUCCCUGCCCUUUGUACACACCGCCCGUCGCACCUACCGAUCGAAUGGUCCGGUGAAAUCUUUGGACUGUGGCAUUGUGGAUCUUCGGAUUUACGUUGCUGUGGGAAGUUGAUUAAACCUUACCAUUUAGAGGAAGGUGAAGUCGUAACA